GAGUGUGUGGUCUCAGGAAUUUUUAGCCUCUAGAACUUGUUUAAAUAAAUUGAGGAUCAAGCAUCAGUCAUCCUCAGCCUGCUAGAAAAAUGAAUCACAUCCUUUUUGUUCCUUUCAGCCAGAACCUUUUCUUUAAUCACUUUUUCAAGCUCUUUUCUUGUUUUAAAGAUGAUUUCCUGUGUUAGGACAUGGAAAAACUGUUUCACCCAGGAAGGUGAGCAAAUUAACGUGGUACUGGAAAAGACAAAUUGCAGAGUGUUUUGACCAGAUAAUGGGGAGAAUUGCAACAGAUAGAGAAAAUCAGACCAAAAGUUCUUUUUUUUUUUUCUUUUUGAAAUACCAAGGCAAUCUUGACAAUUAAGUAGUGGUUUUGUUUGCUUGUUUGUUUACACAUUGCUUCUUUAAAAAAAAAAAAAAUUAAAAAAAGGUAUAAAUGUUUCAUUCUUUUGAAAUAAACACUUCCCCAGAAGUAAAAGAGUUAGGGGCUGUGUUUUGUAUAACUUAAUAGGUUAAAAGCUCCAGAAGAUAGUAGUUCACCGGAGGUGAGACAUUAUGGUACAAAAUGCCAUAAAAGAUAAUAGGUUUAUAUGAAUUGGCAUGUGUUAGUGAUUAUGCAAUCACUCAUUUCCCACAGAUUUCUUUUUAUAGGAAACUUUGGAAAAUCCCAAAAGAACUGACCGAGUCAUUUAAACCACAACAGGUUUCUUUCAACAUCAAAACCAUGGCUAGGAGUGGGCGAGAAAUAUUUUUAUAUUCUUUUUUUUUUUUUUCCCUGGGCAUGGAUGGUCUGUUUCUGACUGUGGCUUGUUCCCUUGUGGAAGCUCCCGAAUAGCAGAGGAAUAAGAAUCUGACUUCCUCCAAAAACCAAGGCAUCCUGCAAACAUCCAGGCAGAGGAAGCAUUUUUUUUACUAUGACAUGGGAACGGGCCACUGAGAUCCAAAUGCAAACGGACGUUUCAUAUUUUUUCCAACUGAUUUCCUGUCCAAUGUUUCACUUUUAACCUACAAUUUUCAAUUUUAUCACUGAGAGAACUGGGAAAUUCAAAGAAACCGGUGAAGAUGCCAGAAGAAUUGAAUAUGAAGAGAUGUCUGGAUACAGAUUUCAUAAUUCUCCAAGCAGUGUUUAUUUUUAUGAAUGUUUAUUCCA